rnacentral:tRNA from 1 species
GGGGCUGUAGCUCAGUAGUCCAGCACAUGCCUUGCAUGCAUAAGGCACUGGGUUCAAAUCUCAGCACCA